rnacentral:tRNA from 1 species
GGGCGCUUAGCUCAGUUGGCUAGAGCACCGCAUUUACACUGCGGGUGUCGGGGGUUCGAGUCCCUCAGCGCCCACCA